rnacentral:rRNA from 1 species
UACGGGGGGAGCAAGCGUUGUUCGGAUUUACUGGGCGUAAAGGGCGCGUAGGCGGUCGUGACAAGUCACUUGUGAAAUCUCCGGGCUUAACUCGGUAGCGGCCAAGUGAUACUGUCGGACUAGAGUGCGGAAGGGGCAACUGGAAUUCUCGGUGUAGCGGUGAAAUGCGUAGAUAUCGAGAGGAACACCUGCGGCGAAGGCGGGUUGCUGGGCCGAUACUGACGCUGAGGUGCGAAAGCGUGGGGAGCAAACAGG